UAAAAUUGAUUUUUAAAUGUAUGAAUAUAUCAAGUGAGUCACUUCACAAAACGUCAGCAUGUAGCCAGGAGCCACUUUUUGAAAUGAUGUGCUUUAGGAACUCUUGGACAGGUUGACCCCAUAGACUCCCAUUAUAUGAAGCAGAGAGGGCUGUGGAUUUACCAAACAAUCUUCUUUAUGGUUCUACUUAAGAAAAAAUGUCACCUAUCUUGGAUGGCCCGAGAAAAGAAACCAUAGGUGUCAGAUCAUCAUGUUAAUAAGCUGGGGUGAAAUACAAAAUAACAGGACUGCAUACAGGGCCGCCAGUGGAAUUCAUUUAGUUUGGGACAAAAUGAUAAGCUCCUGUACAUCCAGCAGUGUAAAUAUGCGUUUAGGGGAUCACUCUCAUCACAGGUCCCAGUUGUCUCCUCCCAUCACAUCCAUCCAGGUCACAUCAUGGGGCUGAGGGGUGUGCCACGAUCUCUCAAAUUCCUGCAAGUGCAGCAGUCGCCUUCACGCUGCGUAUGAGCCUUCGAGGCUUUCGCACCUGACAGUAGAUUGGUCCACCAAGAGCAAGCGGCGCACCGGCAGUAUUGUGCUCUAAUGAGGAGCAGUCUGAGAGUAUUAUGGGCUGUAUUCACCGAGGGGAGAUCUGAGAGGGUGGGCGCCAGGUUUGAGGUGUACGGGUGCAUUCUGCUAUGGAUAUUAGCCAGAACUGUGCUGAGCAGAUGCUUAAAAUGUGGGAUUCUGGGAAGGGCCUUGAGGCAGCCUGCAUAAAGGCAUGGCUGUCUUACAUUGAGAAUAUAUAAGUUUACGAGAAAGUGUACAAAGAGCAGGGGCUGUAAAGGUACUGAAUAUUUAGUUUUUUUAGCCUCUCUCAGAGCCUGUGCUGAUUUAUGGCCAUGUUCAAUUCGUUAUAUAGGUGGCAUAAUUUACUGAAGUGAAAGGGAAGAAGAGAAGGAGCCCUCAGAGAAAGGGAUAGGAAGAAUUCUCUGUAGUAAGGCAACAUUUUUGAUGUCAGAUCUCCUUAUCUUUAAGCUUCGCUUGCCACAGAAUACGAGGCAUGUGUGGUAGAUAUGGAGAUAGAGGGGAGAUGUAAAGGAUGACCUGGCUUGGAGCUAUUUUUUCAGCUACAAUGCUUUGCUAACAUACACUUCACUGCUUUUACUCUGUUUUCGCUUUACUGGAAGACUCCACUGAAUGCUUAAAGCAGGCAAUAAGCAUAGACGAUAUGACCAAAAUCCUAUAUCAUGACAUUGAUGACAACCAUAUUACUGUAGUCAAUAUAUAGAUAUUUUGGUUAAAAAUUUGGUUUAAAAGAUUAUUUACAGUAUUCAAUUCUUAAAGUGAUUGUUCAAAAUUGAAAAUUCUGUCGUCAUUCACUCACCCUCAAGUUGUUUCAAACCAGAUUUAAAAGACUGCUUUUACAAACA